rnacentral:lncRNA from 1 species
CGGGCGAGGGCGGUCCAUUUAGAAAUCAUUCCUCCCUCCCCUUGCCCUGCAAGUGUACACUCGUCAGACGUCACGUGAUAAGCAGGCGGUCGGCCUCGGGAGGAACUCUCCCUCUGCAGUGGUGUGAUAGUGAAUGAUAUCCUGCAUCCCAACCCCCAGCAACCAUCCCUUCCUCAGAGUGCUACUGAUGAU